GAUGAACGCUGGCGGCGUGCCUAAUACAUGCAAGUCGAGCGAACAGACGAGGAGCUUGCUCCUCUGACGUUAGCGGCGGACGGGUGAGUAACACGUGGAUAACCUACCUAUAAGACUGGGAUAACUUCGGGAAACCGGAGCUAAUACCGGAUAAUAUAUUGAACCGCAUGGUUCAAUAGUGAAAGACGGUUUGCUGUCACUUAUAGAUGGAUCCGCGCCGCAUUAGCUAGGUGGUAAGGUAACGGCUUACCAAGGCAACGAUGCGUAGCCGACCUGAGAGGGUGAUCGGCCACACUGGAACUGAGACACGGUCCAGACUCCUACGGGAGGCAGCAGUAGGGAAUCUUCCGCAAUGGGCGAAAGACUGACGGAGCAACGCCGCGUGAGUGAUGAAGGUCUUCGGAUCGUAAAACUCUGUUAUUAGGGAAGAACAAAUGUGUAAGUAACUAUGCACGUCUUGACGGUACCUAAUCAGAAAGCCACGGCUAACUACGUG
rnacentral:rRNA from 1 species